UACGUAGGGUGCGAGCGUUAAUCGGAAUUACUGGGCGUAAAGCGUGCGCAGGCGGCGCGUUAAGACAGGUGUGAAAGCCCCGAGCUUAACUUGGGAAUUGCGCUUGUGACCGGCGUGCUGGAGUGUGGCAGAGGGAGGUGGAAUUCCACGUGUAGCAGUGAAAUGCGUAGAGAUGUGGAGGAACACCAGCGGCGAAGGCGGCGUCCUGGACUGGUACUGACGCUCAGGAGCGAAAGCGUGGGGAGCGAUCCGG
rnacentral:rRNA from 1 species